rnacentral:rRNA from 1 species
AUUGAACGCCGGCGGCAGGCUUAACACAUGCAAGUCGAGCGGGGUGAUGGUGCUUGCACUAUCACUUAGCGGCGGACGGGUGAGUAAUGCUUAGGAAUCUGCCUAUUAGUGGGGGACAACAUCUCGAAAGGGAUGCUAAUACCGCAUACGUCCUACGGGAGAAAGCAGGGGAUCACUUGUGACCUUGCGCUAAUAGAUGAGCCUAAGUCGGAUUAGCUAGUUGGUGGGGUAAAGGCCUACCAAGGCGACGAUCUGUAGCGGGUCUGAGAGGAUCGUCCGCCACACUGGGACUGAGACACGGCCCAGACUCCUACGGGAGGCAGCAGUGGGGAAUAUUGGACAAUGGGGGGAACCCUGAUCCAGCCAUGCCGCGUGUGUGAAGAAGGCCUUAUGGUUGUAAAGCACUUUAAGCGAGGAGGAGGCUCUUUUGGUUAAUACCCAAGAUGAGUGGACGUUACUCGCAGAAUAAGCACCGGCUAACUCUGUGCCAGCCGCCGCGGUAA